rnacentral:rRNA from 1 species
UACGUAGGGUGCGAGCGUUAAUCGGAAUUACUGGGCGUAAAGCGUGCGCAGGCGGUUCGUUAUGUCCGAUGUGAAAGCCCCCGAGCUUAACUUGGGAAUGGCAUUGGAAACUGGCGGGGCUGGAGUGCGGCAGAGGGGGGGGUGGAAUUCCACGUGGUAGCAGUGAAAUGCGCAGAAUAAUCAGGAGGAACACCGGUGGCAAGGGCGGACCC